rnacentral:rRNA from 1 species
GAGUUUGAUCGUGGCUCAGAUUGAACGCUGGCGGCAUGCCUUACACAUGCAAGUCGAACGGCAGCACGGGAGCUUGCUCCUGGUGGGCGAGUGGCGAACGGGUGAGUAAUGCAUCGGAACGUAUCCUGGAGUGGGGGAUAACGUAGCGAAAGUUACGCUAAUACCACAUAUUCUGUGAGCAGGAAAGCGGGGGACCUUCGGGCCUCGCGCUCUUGGAGCGGCCGAUGUCGGAUUAGCUAGUUGGUGAGGUAAAGGCUCACCAAGGCGACGAUCCGUAGCAGGUCUGAGAGGAUGAUCUGCCACACUGGAACUGAGACACGGUCCAGACUCCUACGGGAGGCAGCAGUGGGGAAUUUUGGACAAUGGGGGCAACCCUGAUCCAGCCAUGCCGCGUGAGUGAAG